AGGUUGUGCUACUGCUGGCCCGCCCGUUCCAAGUUGUGUAGUGGACCGCUUGGGGCCUAUAUGAAAGCUGGGCCUCACGGUCCAUAAUGUGGCAGGCACAGCGUGAGGCUGGCUUCACAGAGCAGCGACAACUGCCUCCUUCCAACGGUGGAAGGAUAAUGGGCCGCUGCACUCCU
rnacentral:SRP_RNA from 2 species